rnacentral:rRNA from 2 species
UAGGGAAUCUUCCACAAUGGACGCAAGUCUGAUGGAGCAACGCCGCGUGAGUGAAGAAGGUUUUCGGAUCGUAAAGCUCUGUUGUUGGUGAAGAAGGAUAGAGGCAGUAACUGGUCUUUAUUUGACGGUAAUCAACCAGAAAGUCACGGCUAACUACGUGCCAGCAGCCGCGGUAAUACGUAGGUGGCAAGCGUUGUCCGGAUUUAUUGGGCGUAAAGCGAGCGCAGGCGGAAUGAUAAGUCUGAUGUGAAAGCCCACGGCUCAACCGUGGAACUGCAUCGGAAACUGUCAGUCUUGAGUGCAGAAGAGGAGAGUGGAAUUCCAUGUGUAGCGGUGGAAUGCGUAGAUAUAUGGAAGAACACCAGUGGCGAAGGCGGCUCUCUGGUCUGCAACUGACGCUGAGGCUCGAAAGCAUGGGUAGCGAACAGG